rnacentral:sRNA from 1 species
AGCCCCUUGACAGCUGCCUUUUCUCUUUAUGCUCUAGAAACACCGAAUGCUUCUAGAAGCAAGAAGUGCAUUUCUGGACAGUGACAGGAUAAUCAAGAAGAGACCAGGAUAGAAGAUGCUGUCUUAAAGCGAUGGCCCGAGAAAUGGUGGUCAGGGAAGUAUCCUCAGGAGCUGUCAAAGCACAAGGAGGGAUCCCUGGAUGAAGCCCAGAGCUGGAGCUCGUGGAGCUAUUAGUGAGGACUACGCCCUCCUGAGGACCCAGUGCUCAGCCAGAGUAGACUAAAGCACGGCAAGUGGAACCCCAGUGGCUUCACAUUGCACAUUCACAGCACUGGUUCAUGAAGGACAGGUAAGAUGACCUCUGCCGGCCUUGUGACUUCCCAAGACUCUAGUUGGCAUCUCUCCCUCCCGAAGCCAGGCUGAAUGAAGACCCAGUUGGAAUGCAGGCGGCUUCUCACCAUGGCAGGAAAAUUGCAGGGUCAGUGUGUGGGCAGCCACAGUGACCAUCUCACGGCAGGACGGAAGCAGCUUUGCUGACUGAGAGUCUGCGGCCUGAACAUCCCAGCCGUGCAGGUCUGAGGAUGGAGGCUGAAGGUAAAGAAGGCAGGGAGACGUCCAGGAACCAGUUCCAAGAGCAAAUGGCCUGGGAGAGGCUUGUGGAUUCACUCCAAAAAUAAGUCAGUCACUUAUUUUUGCCAUGCCAUAGCUGAUCCAGCCCUGUCCUCCUAAGAGACACGUGCUAAAGGCUGGAUCCCCAGAGAGGUGCUGGUGAGAAACAGUAUACCUUUAGGGAUGGGUUCUGUGGGAUGUCUUUAAAUCCUGAGGGAGUGUGGGACCCCGGCAACCUCCUGAUUCACCCAGUCUUCUGUUUUGCACCUCGAGUGUGGGGAGAUGGAUGCUGUCUCUCUGCCACAGGUCCACAGUCUUCAGGGCGGUAAUGGAUCAAGGCCUCUAAGACUGAGCCAAGGGCAAACACUUCAAGUGCUUUGUUCUAGAGAGAAAGGCUGACUACUAACACAGCUUCAGCCCCCAGCCCCCUCCUGCCCUGUUGCAAGCCUAUGCUUUGCUCCCCUUUGAGGACUUAACACCCCUAUCCUAGGGGCUCUUUCUCUGCUCUACCCAACCAACCCUCGUCUUUCAGCUUAAAGCCUCCUUCCUCAGGAGUCUCUCCAGCAGCCAUACUGGAUGCAAUUAGGCUUGUUAGUUGGGGGUUUGUGGUUUUUUUUCUGGUAUUGGGAAUUGAACUCAUGUAUGUUCUACCACUGAGAUACAUCCGCAGCCCUGGAUUUUAGAACUGAGACAAAUUCAUACUGUCUGCCUCUCUCCCUAGGCUGCAAGCCUGGUGGAGGUGGUGUCUAUCUCUUUUCCUCAUGACUGUACCACUACAAACCUUCACAGAGCCUGCCACAGAGUCUAUGCCCAAUAAAUCCUUAUGAAAUGAACAAAUGAUCCAUGCUUCAUCAAUUUUCUGGAAGUUUCCAUGUGUACUCUUCAAUUGCUUGGUCUCUAGCAGAUCUUUACAGCAUAGUGGGUGUGUACACCCAUUAUAUAGGUUCAGAGUCAGGUCGAGAGUCAGUUAGUGUCCCAGACUCCAUACUCCUUCACAGCCUCUGAGGGAAGAACAGGCUGACAGAGAAGAGGAAUAUGUUGUAUGGUUCAAAAUCAGAGAGGAGGAUGGUGUGAGGGAACAGAGAAGGGGGCUGAUGCUGCAGCACCCUGAGUGGCAGCCAGGGUCUCCAUAACUCUGUCGGAUAAUCCUGGCUGUGGGGAAGGGGCAGACAGAUGCCCACUGUUCUAGUAGUCCACACCCACAGCUCUCACACCCCAUUCAUGAAAUGAACAAUACGAAUGUGGAGAAAAGGGAGGAGAGGGAAUGGUCACCCAUAUCACCACCUCCAAGCCCAGCGGAAGAGCAUCUCUCUUCCCUGAUAGGAGUAGGCUUUGCAGCCAACCAUCCUGGGGUCAAACCCAAGUGCUUUGUUCUAGAGAGAAAGGCUGACUACUAACACAGCUUCAGCAAGCCCCCAGCCCCCUCCUGCCCUGUUGCAAGCCUAUGCUUUGCUCCCCUUUGAGGACUUGACAGCCCUCGUCCUGGCUGGGCAGUCGGACAGGUAUGUGCCACUUGGCUACAGUUCUCUGAGAACGAACGGUAACAGAAAUGAACAUGGUGAGUUUGCUUAUGGUGAGGCUUCCAGCAAGACAGUGUCCAGUCAGGACUGUUCCCAGGGCCUCUACUGUGUCCUGGGGACCAUCAGACCACCGUUUGGACACCAGGACGCUUUCAGUGGUAGACAGUGCGUAUCCCUUUUGACCUGUGAUUGCUUUAAGAACAAGGACCCUUCUAUCCAUUCCCCAGUGUUCCCAGACUAGCCCAGGCCUAGGCAAAGUGCUCAGGCCAGAACAAAGGCUCUGCUGAUUUCCUACCGGCUACAAAACCAGGGAAGUGGAAGGAAG